rnacentral:rRNA from 1 species
AACGAACGCUUGCGGCAGGCUUAACACAUGCAAGUCGAGCGCCCCGCAAGGGGAGCGGCAGACGGGUGAGUAACGCGUGGGAACGUACCCUUUGCUACGGAAUAGCUCCGGGAAACUGGAAUUAAUACCGUAUGUGCCCUACGGGGGAAAGAUUUAUCGGCAAAGGAUCGGCCCGCGUUGGAUUAGCUAGUUGGUGGGGUAAUGGCCUACCAAGGCGACGAUCCAUAGCUGGUCUGAGGGGAGGAUCAGCCACAUUGGGACUGAGACACGGCCCAAACUCCUACGGGAGGCAGCAGUGGGGAAUAUUGGACAAUGGGCGCAAGCCUGAUCCAGCCAGGCCGCGUGAGUGAUGAAGGCCUUAGGGUUGUAAAGCUCUUUCACCGGAGAGGAUAAUGACGGUAUCCGGAGAAGAAGCCCCGGCUAACUUCGUGCCAGCAGCCGCGGUAAAAC